CUAAACCACCUCACUCACUUGAAGAAAAGUGUUUAUCGCUACGUUACAGUAGGUGGCAGAACUUCUUCAACCCCACAGAAGAAGCCAAAAAGCCUUCAACAGGAAGUUACCAUCCAUCCUUCGUAUGCUAGCUCAAGCUGGCUAACAUUAGCCACACCUCAUGCUCUUUACAGACAUUGGCAUUUGAUUGGCAUCAACAUUUUCAUAGUAUUUAAACAACGAUCACCCACUUGGGUAUAAUCAAUGAGGAGAUGGCACGUGGGUACCUGCUUCUAUAAACCAAUGAGGAGAUGGGAGAGGCAGGACUUUCAGUGCGAUCUGCUUUAGAAAUAGAAUAGAGUUCUAUUUUAGCCUUUGGCAACGCAGACGCUCGCGAGCAGUGUGGGUGCAAUAAUUGAAUAACAUAGAUUCCUACAUUUAUUUUGCAAAGCGAGCUGUGUAGUCAGGGUAUUAGUCUGCUCUCUCUUUGCUUUUCAUCUGCGUUUAUGUUUUAGUUCUGUUAUGUUGUGUUCUAGCUGGUUUCCAGAAGUUGUGCUCUAGCUUGCCGACGAUAAACGUGGGGAUUUGCUAGGCUGGCUAGGCUAAUACCUAGUUGGCGAAAUAGCUAACAUUAGCUGGCUGGCUAAGAUAACUUGAUAUAGCUACCAUUCUUUGAUAACUGGAUUACUUUAAUGUAGCUGUAAACUAGGUGUUGAUAGUGACUGGCUGACUCAUUCAGUGCUAACGUCAGCAGGCUGACUAAUAGAGCUAACGUUAGCAGGCUAGUUGGCUAGUAACCUUGCAAGUUUAUUUCUAACAAUAAAUUCAUAAGGCAUUUGCUUUUUUUAAAUUGGCUGAAAAUGUAAUUGAACCAGCAUGGGUGCAAUGAGUGCAAAAUAUUUGGUUUAAUUUGAAGUUCUACAUUUGAAGUUAUUUCUGUUGGAGUUUAUGUUAUGGUGAAUAGGCUUGCUUGCCAGGUCCUUCAUAUUACAUCACAUCCCAGAAAAACAUUUUCAGACGUGACUUUGGCAUUCUUCAGAAUUCUGAUAGAAAAAUAGAAAAGUGAGGUGUAACUUUGCAUUGGGUCUUUGCAUGUGCAUACUAGUGCAAAUCCAUAUGUUAAGUGGGGUGACAUUUAUGCUACCCAACCUUUAAUGACAGAAUAUAUUUGAAACUUAACGCACAUUAACUUUUAUGACAAAUAAAAUAAUAAUUAUGGUAUUUUAUCUAUAGGUGUGAAAAAGGUGUUCAUGCAUUGAUAAGCACACCAAAGACGGCAUUAAUGAUAAGAAGUAAAAUUCUACUUCUAAAAGCCUAUUUCACACCAUAGACUCCUUCAUUUUGAUUUCAGCACAAAUUUUCUAGCCUGGAUUUUGAAUCGUGCAUGGAAAAAGUGGAUCAUUCAACGAAGACGUUGGACCUUGUUAGUUAUCUAGUAAAACAACACGUUUGAAAAUGUUUCUCGCUUUUAGCUUUCUCGGCUGUUCAUGCACCAGAUUGGAAUGAAACUUUUUUGUUCAACUUUGGUUUCUGCUGUAAUGGGUGCCAAGGACCUGAAGUCGACGGUGUGGCGGAUGCUAUCUUGCACCAUCUUGCCAUCGCCACAAACUGGAUAAUUGCAUGCUGCUACUGGACAGUAUGUUGUCCAACUCACUUUGCACAUGGGAAAACAAUGUCCACUAUGGAUAUCCAUGUGGGCAAUGUAAUCAUUUGUUAUAUAUUGUUUAUGUACAAUGUCACUUAUUUGAUUGCUCUACUGAAUCACUUUGAUUACUGUCACUUUUUUUUGCCAUUGCACUGUCAAUAAAUGUAUUUUAAUUUA